rnacentral:sRNA from 1 species
CUUGAUCAGACCUUCGACUUUCAGAUCAUCCUCGGGAAGGUGCGCCCUUUCCUACGCCCGCCUCGCCGAGGCU